CAAAAACGUGAGCUGUGUAGUCAAAUAAAUUGUGACACUGAAGAGAUGGGCUUUGAUUCACAGAACUGGUGAAGCAGGAGUAAGAAAUCGCGCGUGAUGGAGUGAAGUCGAGAGAAUGCAGCCCGAGUGUGCUCUUACUGCUGAACAAGCCUUCAGUGGAAACGGUAUCAGUUACAGUGGUUGAAGGUACCAGUAUAUCAAACAUCAGAAACAGGAUUUCAAAGAAUGACCCAUUCCCCACCACAGCUCAGGAGAACGGAAGGCCAGUGGAUGUCCUCUGAUCCCACAACCAAUCCAAUUGCAUCUUUGCACCCAGGAGAGCAGAUGUCAGUGAGCUACCAACAUCCGGACAACAACCAGGCCUGAAGGUGCCUGGCCAGCAGGGUUCACUCUAGUGCGAUGAAGAGAAACAGUCCCUGCUGGUUUUGCCUACCUAACCCUCGGGAGCACUAGAGCCACUGCAGAGCUCUCUGUAUAAUCCUCGGCAAAGACUGGACACAAACCUGCACUUCCCUGACUGUAUGGCUCACCCUGCAUACCAUGCCUUUUACAGAUGAGACACUCUGGGACCCCUCUUCUUGCCAUUGUUUUGCCACCUUAUAGAAAAUGUUAAAAAUUGAAUCAAAAGAAAUAUUGCAUUUCAAUGUGAAUACACUGUUGACUGUUAAUAAACGGUACAUAUAAUUCUACAAAGCACCACCUUAAAAGCAUUGUUACAUCGUCAUUGGCUAUUUCACGAUAAUGCCUGUGCUUCUACAGUACUGUAUCUGCUGUUCAAAUGGGACUUAUUAAUCAUUGGGUAGAACAAAAAACAACCCACAGGAUGUAAAUUCAAGAACAUAAUCAGACUGGAGGAGCAAUCAGGGCCAGCUUAUGCCUGAAUGUCAUUCUAAUUACACAGAACAUUUGUUAUUAAAUGAAAGUGCACUAAGAGCAUGGAAGUCAGGCUGCCUAUAAAUUUUUUUUUAAC